rnacentral:rRNA from 1 species
UACGUAGGGUGCGAGCGUUGUCCGGAAUUAUUGGGCGUAAAGAGCUCGUAGGCGGUUUGUCGCGUCUGCCGUGAAAGUCCGGGGCUCAACUCCGGAUCUGCGGUGGGUACGGGCAGACUAGAGUGAUGUAGGGGAGACUGGAAUUCCUGGUGUAGCGGUGAAAUGCGCAGAUAUCAGGAGGAACACCGGUGGCGAAGGCGGGUCUCUGGGCCGAUAUUGACGCUGAGGAGCGAAAGCCGUGGGGAGCGAACAGG